rnacentral:rRNA from 1 species
AGAGUUUGAUUAUGGCUCAGGACGAACGCUGGCGGCGCGCCUAACACAUGCAAGUCGAACGAGCGAGAGAGAGCUUGCUUUCUCGAGCGAGUGGCGAACGGGUGAGUAACGCGUGAGGAACCUGCCUCAAAGAGGGGGACAACAGUUGGAAACGACUGCUAAUACCGCAUAAGCCCACAGGUCGGCAUCGACCAGAGGGAAAAGGAGCAAUCCGCUUUGAGAUGGCCUCGCGUCCGAUUAGCUAGUUGGUGAGGUAAUGGCCCACCAAGGCAACGAUCGGUAGCCGGACUGAGAGGUUGAACGGCCACAUUGGGACUGAGACACGGCCCAG